GUUUUUUCCACAAGGUGCAGGCUUUUUGAUUAUGUCCCUUUUUCUGCUUCCUUAGCUAGAUGAAUCUUGGUUUGAACUGAUAAAGACAGACAGCUUCUUAAAUCACAUAGCCAGAUGGAUAACUAUUUACCAUGCAGAUAUAUGCAGCCCCCAGUAGACAUGAUAGAAGUAGCUGCAAAUCUAUUGGAUUUCCCUGAAUCACAGGAGAAAAGAUUGUCAUCUUUAUGAUUCUGCUGUAGGUAGGGCAUCAAUCCUUGGCUCAACCUCUGACUGUACAGCAACACAUUUUAAAGACUUCAAUUAUCUGGAGAUGAGCUCAAAUCUGUGGCAAGAAUACCUUUGUGUUUUGGAAUAUGCUGGAGUUAACAAUCUACUGUGGAAACCUAAUGAACAAUGGGACAAUCCUGUCACUGAUGAAGAAGAAGACCUGAAUGUUUGUGGCAGUGAUGGUCAGUAUCCAUGGGAUUGUGGAGAGGGCCUGGCCGUAAUACAGAAAGAUGAUGAAUGACCUUCCAUGAUCUGCAGUAAUCAGUUUACACAAUCUCAGAAUUGAUGGGUACAGAAGGAGGCUUUUUAGCCUACUACGCUUGCAGCGGCUCUUCAAAUUUGCAUCAUUACGUAUCACCAAUCUACUGCUGUAUCCCCACAUGAUAUCCAUUCAAUAUUUGGUUAUUUGGCUGAUAUGUCAGUUUGGGCAGAGGUCAUAAUGCCUGCAUUCUAAUGUCUGGAAGAUGUCUGUGAAGCCUUCAUUGUAUCUACUCAUGACCAGAGCCUUUGAAGUCUCAGCUUUAGACAGAAUUUGCAUGUUGUUGUAUACCACCAUUUUGCUGCUCACAGUUUUCUUCAAAAUCGAUGUUGGACUCUUCAUCUGAUGAUUUCUGGCCUGCCUACUGAUCCUUAAUGCCUUCUUACCUUGACAGAAUCAGAUUGUCAAAAUGGAAAUUCUGCAAGGUACUAAAUGAACCGAUCAUCAUGUUUACUAUUAUUGCAUUCUGCUGUUUCAGCGUUGAGUCAGCAACAUGGGUAGAAAAAAAUAUGUUAACUAUUGAUAGCUUUUAAGGUCAGUGCAUGUUUCCACAAAGGUUUGUACUGUAUAUGCAUCUGCUGUUAAGCAUUUGAAAUGUUAAUCCCAUAUUUAAAAUGGUAUAAAUAUGCCGCAUUUUACGAAUGGUAGAUGUCAAGUGUGUGACACUUCCAAUCUCUAUUUAAUUUCUCACACAUAUCACAUAGCAUCUGUUUAGUAAAUGUAAUUCAGAACAAUCAAUAAAAUGUAUUCUCAUUUUCUAUUGAUCCAGGGGGAUAUUUGUCUUUCUGCAGCACAGCUAAGCUGCCACCAAAUGCAUUCAAUCACCAUCUUUCAACUGGCAACUCAGCUGAACAAACAGCCCUCCAAACUGAAUGCUAUUAUUUAUG